rnacentral:rRNA from 1 species
UACGUAGGGUGCGAGCGUUGUCCGGAAUUACUGGGCGUAAAGAGCUCGUAGGUGGUUUGUCGCGUCGUCUGUGAAAUUCCGGGGCUUAACUUCGGGCGUGCAGGCGAUACGGGCAAUACUUGAGUGCUGUAGGGGAGACUGGAAUUCCUGGUGUAGCGGUGGAAUGCGCAGAUAUCAGGAGGAACACCGAUGGCGAAGGCAGGUCUCUGGGCAGUAACUGACGCUGAGGAGCGAAAGCAUGGGUAGCGAACAGG